UACGUAGGGUGCAAGCGUUAAUCGGAAUUACUGGGCGUAAAGCGUGCGCAGGCGGCUUCUCAAGUCAGGGGUGAAAGCCCAGAGCUCAACUCUGGAAUUGCCUUUGAGACUGAGUGGCUUGAGUACGAGAGAGGUGAGUGGAAUUCCCAGUGUAGAAGUGAAAUUCGUAGAUAUUGGGAAGAACACCGGUGGCGAAGGCGGCCAUCUGGACCGCAACUGACGCUGAGGCGCGAAAGCGUGGGGAGCAAACAGG
rnacentral:rRNA from 1 species